GGAGAGGUGUCCGAGUGGUUGAAGGAGCUCGCCUCGAAAGCGAGUAUACCCGUUAAGCCGGGUAUCCAGGGUUCGAAUCCCUGCCUCUCCGCCA
rnacentral:tRNA from 3 species